rnacentral:lncRNA from 1 species
UGAGUUUAGUAUAUUAUCGCACCUCUCAAUAGGAAGGGUCUUAAAAAAUUAAUCUUUUUAAUAUUAUUAAAAUGAGUUUUUAAGCUUUUGUAAAAAAAAUUAUAUUAUUUUUAGGGUAAACAGCCGAAAACCCUCCUGGACUAUAUCGACUAUCGAAAUGUCCCUCCUUGAUUAUUUUUUUCAGCCAAUUUAGCCUUCAAAUUAAAAGAAAUCUCCA